GGCUCCCUGCGAUGUCCGUGAUCGGUGAUCGAGUCUUGAGCCAACACCCGCGACCUGGGUGCUGUCUGGACCGGUGAAGUGACGUCUUCCCGCAAGGGGAGACAGACACGCAGCCGGUCCGAAGCAUCCGCCUGUCACUAAGGGUUCAAAGACUCGUCGCGACACGACACCCGCGGGGAACCU
rnacentral:other from 1 species